UAUAAUGCAAGUCGAGCGGACAGAUGGGAGCUUGCUCCCUGAUGUUAGCGGCGGACGGGUGAGUAACACGUGGGUAACCUGCCUGUAAGACUGGGAUAACUCCGGGAAACCGGGGCUAAUACCGGAUGGUUGUUUGAACCGCAUGGUUCAGACAUAAAAGGUGGCUUCGGCUACCACUUACAGAUGGACCCGCGGCGCAUUAGCUAGUUGGUGAGGUAACGGCUCACCAAGGCAACGAUGCGUAGCCGACCUGAGAGGGUGAUCGGCCACACUGGGACUGAGACACGGCCCAGACUCCUACGGGAGGCAGCAGUAGGGAAUCUUCCGCAAUGGACGAAAGUCUGACGGAGCAACGCCGCGUGAGUGAUGAAGGUUUUCGGAUCGUAAAGCUCUGUUGUUAGGGAAGAACAAGUGCCGUUCAAAUAGGGCGGCACCUUGACGGUACCUAACCAGAAAGCCACGGCUAACUACGUGCCAGCACCCGSGGUAAUACGUAGGUGGCAAGCGUUGUCCGGAAUUAUUGGGCGUAAAGGGCCUCGCAGGCGGUUUUCUUAAGUCUGGAUGUGAAAGCCCCCGGCUCAACCGGGGGAGGGUCAUUGGAAACUGGGGAACUUGAGUGCAGAAGAGGAGAGUGGAAUUCCCCCGUGUACCGGUGAAAUGCGUAGAGAUGUGGAGGAACACCAGUGGCGAAGGCGACUCUCUGGUCUGUAACUGAGGCUGASGGAGCGAAAGCGUGGGGAGCGAACAGGAUUAGAUACCCUGGUAGUCCACGCCGUAAACGAUGAGUGCUAAGUGUUAGGGGGUUUCCGCCCCUUAGUGCUGCAGCUAACGCAUUAAGCACUUCCGCCUGGGGGAGUACGGUCGCAAGASUGAAACUCAAAGGAAUUGACGGGGGCCCGC
rnacentral:rRNA from 1 species